rnacentral:rRNA from 1 species
CCUACGGGGGACAGCAGUGAGGAAUAGUGGUCAAUGGACGAGAGUCUGAACCAGCCAAGUAGCGUGAAGGAUGACUGCCCUAUGGGUUGUAAACUUCUUUUAUAGGGGAAUAAAAUGUUCCACGUGUGGGAUUUUGUAUGUACUUUAUGAAUAAGGAUCGGCUAACUCCGUGCCAGCAGCCGCGGUAAUACGGAGGAUCCGAGCGUUAUCCGGAUUGAUUGGGUUUCAAGGGAGCGUAGAUGGGUUGUUCAGUCAGUUGUGAAAGUUUGCGGCUCAACCGUAAACUUGCAAUUGAUCCUGGCAGUCUUGAGUCCAGUUGAGGUCGGCUGCAUUCGUGGUGUAGCGGUGCCAUGCUUCGCUAUCACGCAUAACUCCGCUUGCGCAGGCAGCUUACUCCACUUCCUCUG